AUGCCCGGCGAACCAACCACAGAAAAGCCACCUUCCUAGUCAGCCAGCUUCACCCUUGAUUGACUGUGAGACUCUUUAUCAACAAGACUCGAUCCUUGUAUUCAAAGUUUUGGUUUUGGUGUGCAUGAACAGAUAUCAGGGUAACUUUGGGUUAUUUUUGUGGUAUGUUGCUACUUGUUUAGUGCUUGAUUUCAGGGUUACUUGAGGUCUGUAUUGUGGUAUGUUGUUGCUUGUUAAGUGCUUGAUUUCAUGUUUCUUUCUUGUACCAUGUCUGCCUCUUGAUUUCAGGGUCACUUGAGGUCUUUCUUGUGGUAUGGUGGUUCUCGUUCAGCCUCUUGAUUUCACGUUUCUUUCUUGUAAUGUGUCUGCCUCUUGAUUUCAGGGUCACUUGAGGUCUUUCUUGUGGUAUGGUGGUUCUCGUUCAGCCUCUUGAUUUCACGUUUCUUUCUUGUAAUGUGUCUGCCUCUUGAUUUCAGGGUCACUUGAGGUCUUUCUUGUGGUAUGGUGGUCCUCAUUCAGCCUCUUUGUUUAUGUUCAGGAGUAAGGAACGGUCUCCUCAACACAGCCUGAGUCACUCCUGUUUUGUAUGGUAUAUAGCCACUUGUUUAGCCAAGGAACGGUCUCCCCAGCACACACCCUGAGCUACUCCACUUUCUCAAGUAUCCAGCCACUUGUUCAGCCUUUCAAGUGUUAUGUCAGGAGUACAAAAGCCUCCCACCAACACGAACUCCAUGGACUGUGGGAGGAGGACCUUGAGGUGAAGGGAAAUGACAAUGAGGUGUGGCUGUCAUUUGUUCAACUUCUCAGGUGUUGUGGUUAAGGAUGUGCCUCCCUAACACACACAACACCUCUCACACACACACACACACACACACACAACCAGUAUCUCCUUGCACUGAGGGAGGAAGAUGUUGAUGUGGAUGAAGAAGAAAGAGAUGGCGUAGUUGUCACUCCCUGGGCUGGCCACACACUGCUCCACACAAUCAACAACGGGUGAUAACAUCAGCUUACAGACAAUCUUAUCAGGAGCUAAUCUAACGCCCACCCGCCCUCUCCCUUUCCCUUCCUCCUUGGCCGUCUCUAUUCCAGGGAUCAGUAUGUCUUGAGAGGUGACUGGGAGGAGCUUCUGUGGCCCAAGACGAGAUGCUUAGGUAUAUCAGGGUGGGAUUAAACUUUUUGUGUUGAGGUGAACUUGAGCCGUGAGGGAAAGCCGUCACUGUUGGCUCAGAGAUGUGGCGUUCGGAGAUUGUGUUCCUGUUUUUCGUUUUCCGUUCCUGUUCUUGUUAAUUUUGUUCGUUUGGUUUCAUAUUCGUGUUCUUGUUAUCUUUUUGUUAUCACUGUUCUCUUUCCUGUUCGUCUUGUUCUUGUACUUUUUCUCUUUUUCUCUUCUUUUUCAAUUCUUGGUAGACGAUUUUGGGCCAGUCUGUUCCCGUUCUUGUUAAUUUUGUUGUGGUUUUUGUUCAUCUGUUUUCAUAUUCGUCUGUCUGUUUUUGAUUUCAUGUUUUUGUUAUCUUUUUUGUUAUCAAUGUUCUCUUUCUUGUUCAUCUUCUUGUACUUUUUCUCUUUUUUCUCUUCUUUUUCAAUUCUUGGUAGACGAUAUUGGGCCGGCGCGAGUGACCUACAGGAACAGUCAUGAGCCGGAAAUGUGUGGGAGGUGGACUAUGAACUGUGAGCACUGGAAUGUUAUAUUUAUAGUGCUUGUGAUAUGACUGGUGACUAAACAUGAUAAUAGUAAUGAUGAAUAGAAACCAGAAUGGAUCACCACCAGGGGAGGCAGUGGCUGAGAGGUUAACAUGCCAGCACAGUGUCCAGGAUGAUGCAGGUUCACAUCCCACCCACUGCCACAAGCUAGGAUUUUUCAGUCACCGCCGAGUGGCCUAAAACUACCCACAUGCUGCCCUGACGACCAACUAUCAACCCGGACUCUAGAUUCUCUCUCUAAAAGUGAGGAUCAAAAAUGGGCUCUGGGGGGCAAGCAAUAUGGCUCUACAAUAAAAACUUGCCUGUAUCAUUAACACGCUGGGGCCGACCA